GGGGAGGGAAUACAAGAAGAAGGAUAGAAGAAGAAGAAGAGCAUGUGGGAGAAGUAAGAGAAAUUUAGUGGAAUGGAAGGAGAGAUAAAGGGGUAGAAAUGGAAGAAUAGAAAAUUUGAGGUGGAAGAAGAAGGAAAUACGAGAGGGAAACGGUGGGAUGGGGGGAGAUAUUGGUGGGAAUGGAAGCGGGAGAUCAGGGUGGAGCCCAAAGGGAGGGCAGUUCUUUAAGCCAUGGUCCCUCAGAGGUUCCCCCCAGGGGGGUUUUCCUCUCCUUUGUGCUGAAGAAUAACUCUGAGUCCAGAGGCAACCUUUAAUUUGGUUGUAUUUCUAGAAUCAUUAACCCUAGAGUUGGUGUAUAAAUAUUUUCCUGGCAAAUUAACUGAAAUGUUGUAAUAUAAUAAAGUAUUCAUAUAUUCAUA